AACGAACGCUGGCGGCAGGCUUAACACAUGCAAGUCGAACGCCCCGCAAGGGGAGUGGCAGACGGGUGAGUAACACGUGGGGAUCUGCCCAAUGGUACGGAAUGAUUCCGGGAAACUGGGACUAAUACCGUAUGUGCCCUUCGGGGGAAAGAUUUAUCGCCAUUGGAUGAACCCGCGUCGGAUUAGCUAGUUGGUGAGGUAAAGGCUCACCAAGGCGACGAUCCGUAGCUGGUCUGAGAGGAUGAUCAGCCACACUGGGACUGAGACACGGCCCAGACUCCUACGGGAGGCAGCAGUGGGGAAUAUUGGACAAUGGGCGCAAGCCUGAUCCAGCCAUGCCGCGUGAGUGAUGAAGGCCUUAGGGUUGUAAAGCUCUUUCGCCGACGAAGAUAAUGACGGUAGUCGGAGAAGAAGCCCCGGCUAACUUCGUGCCAGCCGCCGCCGUAACAC
rnacentral:rRNA from 1 species